rnacentral:lncRNA from 1 species
GGAUGCAAUGCCAAAAGGUGUGCUGAAAACAAUAAUAAAUGCAUCAUCACCAUCUCUGAUUACACCACCACUUCCUGGGAGCCCUAAAUUCUGUAGAAAAAAAAGUUAUUUCAUAGGGUUACUAUUCUUUUUACUUACUCUUACCGAUUAUUUUGAUAUAUUUUUUGGGAAUAUAUUGCUUGUAUUUUUUCGUACAAAUUUUCUAAGGGAACUUAUUGGUGAAAUUUUUGAUGAUUUUUUUUGUUAAAUCAAGAUUUUUAAUCUACUCACAAUGUUAAUGUGCAUAUAUUUAAACCAAAUUCACUAAUAUUAAGUUUAUAAAAAAAUAAAGUUAUAAGGAAGAAAUUUUUUGAAAAGUUUUUUUAAAGAAAGAUGAAAUACAAAUUUAUAUAAGUACCAUUAAAAAAACCCUAUUUCUUGAAGAUCUCUUAAAAACUCGGAGUUUUUUGACGGAUUUAAAAAAAUCAAAGAUUUUUUUUUAAAAUUAUAUUUUAUUUUAAAGAGAGACUUGUUAACUAUGCUCUAGAUACAUCUUCGCUUGAGAUUCAAGGUUUUACAACUCAAAAAGUAAUACGAAUCUAAAGAUCUAUGGAGAACAAAAUGAACGUUAAUAAUCAAUAAAAAAUAAAACUUUAAAAAAUUAUUUUUAAACUCCAAAAUCCAUUUUACUCAUGUACACAAUUAUGGUUAUGUUCCUCUAAAAUUUUAGGUCUAAGAAAGAUAUUUGAAGAAUUGGAUAAAAAAAAAUUAAAAAAAUGAUAAGAAGACUGUGUUUUAAGAGGUGCAUAUAUGACACAUCAAAGCCCCGGCCUAUAAAAAUCGACCACGUGGUUCGACCGUUACUGUAAGAACAAACGGAGUAGGAGGAGAGAUGGAGCAUGUUCCCACGAGGGAUCCGUGAAAGAGAUUAAGCAAAAACGGGAGGACGCUAUCUUUCAGCUCUGAAUUUAUAUAUUGAGAGUUUGAAGCCAUUUGACUUCAAAAAAGAAAAGAAAAGAAAAGAAAAGGAGAGUGUAGACGUCAGACUUUUAACGGCAUUGUCGAAAUGCCUUCAAAUAUUGAAUAUCCAAAAUUUGAAGUCGUUUCGAUUAAAUUUGAUUUUAGAUCACGAAAGUUCCCCAAUAUAAUAGAAAUUUAUUCAAAACAUUGAUCCCAUGUCAUUGUGAUUACCAACAUUUGAAAACCCAACUAUCCAGAUCAGUAAUCGGCCGAUACUGAAGUAACUAUGGGAAGGUAUCGAUACCAGCCAAGUCCCCUCCUAAAACCCCCUUAUUUCAUAGUUAUUUUUGUGAGCCAUCUAAUGUUUUCUUAGAUCCUAUUAAUUAUUUUAAUAUUUUAUUUUAAAAUAUUUUUUUGGACCACAGAUCGGGUGAUCCGGUUGUUUGACACAUAUUUUUUAGGUGGGCAAUGCACCUCACUAAUCCGGGUUUUGAAACACUCUUCGAGCCUUUUGAAGUGGGGGCAUUUUAGGGGAAAAAAAAGAAAAAAAAAGUUAUUGAUGUAAAAUAAAACCUCUCGAUUUUUUUCAUUACUUCAGAAAGUGAGCAAAAAUUUCUCUCAUCUUAGUAGCAUCUUUAGGAGAGUAUUUGUCAAGUUAGUCACGUGAAUACUAAUUUUUAAGGAUAAAAUGUUAUUUUAGGGGUUGAAAUCCCUUUAAUGAAAUCAUUAAUCGGGUCCAAUUCUUUCUAUUACCAUUUGAAGGAUUGCUUUUUCUUAUUUUUAGUGAUUCUUAAUAAUGAUCGCCUUGUUUGUAAUACAAAAUAACUAGGGGAUUUUUGUAAUUCGGUUGGGGCUUUUGAGGGUCAAAUUACUGCGACACUCCUUAUUAUUCCUUAUUUCUAAUACAAAACAAAGGCAAUUAGAGACUUCUAAAAUUUGUUUGGAGGAGGUACCAAAGUGAGGAAAAAAAAAAAGCAAUCCCCAAAUGUUAAUAUCGAUAAUCUGGCGCUAUCUUAAGGGGUUUUGACCUCUUAAAUGAUAUUUUCCCAUGUUUUAAAAAUAGUUGAGUCAGCUUCAAAGGUUUACUUGUAUGAGUAUGAGACCCCUUGAUUCCAAUUCAUAACAUUUAUUUGAUUUUUAAGUUUUUGUAGUAAAACAAUCUAAAACAACAAGUUGACCGGAUGAGAUGACUCAAAGCUAGGUUGGAAUCAAUUUUUUUUUUUUUUUGAGAAUCAAUUGGUGAUUGGUUUGACGUAUCGAUUCAAUUUUCAAGACAUCGACAACAAUUACCGAGCAAGAAUAAUGUUUUAAAACAUGGAUUGGUGGGGCAAUUGUUCACCUACAAAUUCAUGUCGAAUUGUUGAUUCGGUGAUCCAGAUCAAGUAUAGAUUGUUCUGAAUCAAUGAUCAAAAGAAUAUUUAAAUAUAUAUAUAUAUAUAUAUAUAUAUAUUUAAAUAUAUAUAUAUAAAAGAAAUAACAGUUUACCUUGUAGAAAUUUACAAGAACCUUAAAAAAGUACUAGAUAAGAUAAAAAAAAGGAUGCAAUUUGUACAGAGCCGAGGCAUUAAACAAUCAAAAUAAAACGUAUCUUUAAAUAGUAUCGAGAAAUGUGGUUUUAAUAUUGGAAAUUUUUGUGAUAGUUUUAAAAUAUAUUUUCAUCUUUAAUUAUAAAAUUUAAAGCUUAAAAAAUAAUAUAGAUCGAACAUAUAUAUGAAACUUGAAAAUUUUGAAAAUUAACAGUAAAAAAAAUACGAUGCACUAUUUUCAAAACUUGAAAUCCAUUUUUUGAAAUCCAUAUUUUUUUCGGAUUAUUGCAUCUUGAUGUUGAGAUGAUCAAUUUAAAAAUAUUUGAGCAUUAAAAUAUCACCAAAAUUUUGACGUAUGCUUGAUCGUUUAGAGCCUCAACCCUAUAUAAAUUUUUUUUAAAAUAAUAAUAAUAAUAAUAAAUGCCCUCCCCGAAUCGCUUCGAUCUCCAUCGAUUUCUAUCCAAAAUUCCAAAGCAUGAAAAUUGCUGGGAUUUAAAAAACUGAGCAGGGUAUUGAAACCUGUCCACCUACGAACGCAGGUUCAGAUGAUUGAUUCCGUGCACAUGUGCGGACACGACGCUAGUCAUGUGGCGCUCGUGCCAAACAUCCGCCAUCCAUCAACGUCUCUCCCAACACACUUCCCAACAUCACAUCACUGUAACUCUUUCUCUCUCCUCCCCCUUCUCUCUCGCCAUUGCUUCUCUAUCUCUCUCCUCCCAUCUCUCUCUCUCGCCAUCGCUUCUCUUUCUCUCUCCUCCCCCCUUCUUUCUCUCUCUCUGUCGCCAUUGCUUCAAGUUCAAAUCAAUGUGAGCCUUCCACAGUGACACUUGCUGCCCUCUCUCUUUCUCUAAGUUCCGAGUCUCCUGAGUCUGGCUCUCUCUCUCUCUCUACUCAUUCCUGCUCUCGAGUAUCUUGACUCUGAUCCCCUCUCGCCAUUUUCUCUCUCCUCCAAGUUUUCCACAUUCUCUCUCUCUCCUCAAAAUCCCACCUCGCGC